GCUACGAGCAAAUACUACCUCUGUUUUGACUAUUCGUCUUAUUUAAAUUUUUUUACGAUUAAUAUUUUUAUUGUAAAACAUGGAUAGUACUUUAUGUAUGACUAAUUUUUUUUAACUUUUUUAUAAAUUUUUCAAAUAAGAUGAAUGGUCAAACGUUAGACAGAAAAACGAAAAAUGAAGUUAUU
rnacentral:pre_miRNA from 1 species